rnacentral:rRNA from 1 species
CAGUAGCCGCGGUAAUACGAAGGGGGCUAGCGUUGUUCGGAAUUACUGGGCGUAAAGCGCACGUAGGCGGACAUUUAAGUCAGGGGUGAAAUCCCGGGGCUCAACCCCGGAACUGCCUUUGAUACUGGGUGUCUAGAGUAUGGAAGAGGUGAGUGGAAUUCCGAGUGUAGAGGUGAAAUUCGUAGAUAUUCGGAGGAACACCAGUGGCGAAGGCGGCUCACUGGUCCAUUACUGACGCUGAGGUGCGAAAGCGUGGGGAGCAAACAGGAUUAGAUACCCGCGUAGUCCCUGUCUCUUAUAC